rnacentral:rRNA from 1 species
AUGACAUCGUCACUGACUCAGACCACAAGAGUCCUGCUGUGUUCGGCGUCGCACCCUCCACAUCCUGCAAUGGCGAUCACGAUGCCUCUGCAGAACAAUGUGCCGACGCCUGUCACUGCCCUGCGUCCUGCUCCAUGCUGUGCCCAGUGCUACCACCUGCUCUAUGUUGUGCCCUCGAUAGGCACCAUCCUUGGAUGCCAUCUCUUCCAACCUCCUCUUCCCUUCCGGAUUGAUACCAGCGCCCAUCUUCAAAAAAGAUUUGUACCCUUCCAAACUGAUAUCAAUUACAUACUCAAGGCAGUUCUAGGUGUCUGCAAGUUUGUGAUCUGCAAGUAUUAUAGUCAAAAGGAUUUCAAUUAUGAUAGGCCGUAG